UGGGGAAUAUUGGACAAUGGGCGAAAGCCUGAUCCAGCCAUGCCGCGUGUGUGAAGAAGGUCUUCGGAUUGUAAAGCACUUUAAGUUGGGAGGAAGGGCAGUAAGCGAAUACCUUGCUGUUUUGACGUUACCGACAGAAUAAGCACCGGCUAACUCUGUGCCAGCAGCCGCGGUAAUACAGAGGGUGUGAGCGUUAAUCGGAUUUACUGGGCGUAAAGCGUGCGUAGGCGGCUAAUUGAGUCGGAUGUGAAAUCCCCGAGCUUAACUUGGGAAUUGCAUUCGAUACUGGUUAGCUAGAGUGUGGGAGAGGAUGGUAGAAUUCCAGGUGUAGCGGUGAAAUGCGUAGAGAUCUGGAGGAAUACCGAUGGCGAAGGCAGCCAUCUGGCCUAACACUGACGCUGAGGUGCGAAAGCAUGGGGAGCAAACAGG
rnacentral:rRNA from 1 species